GGUGUAGCUCAGCGGUAGAGCAGUUGACUGUUAAUC
rnacentral:tRNA from 13 species